UACGAAGGGUGCAAGCGUUACUCGGAAUUACUGGGCGUAAAGCGUGCGUAGGUGGUUUGUUAAGUCUGAUGUGAAAGCCCUGGGCUCAACCUGGGAAUUGCAUUGGAUACUGGCAGGCUAGAGUGCGGUAGAGGGUAGUGGAAUUCCACGUGUAGCGGUGAAAUGCGUAGAGAUGUGGAGGAACACCAGUGGCGAAGGCGACUUUCUGGCCUAUAACUGACGCUGAGGCGCGAAAGCGUGGGGAGCAAACAGG
rnacentral:rRNA from 1 species